rnacentral:tRNA from 1 species
GGAUGAAUAUUUAAAGUUAUAAUACUUGAUUUGCGUUCAAGAGGUGAUGUGUCUU